rnacentral:rRNA from 1 species
AUUGAACGCUGGCGGCAGGCCUAACACAUGCAAGUCGAACGGUAACAGGAAGCAGCUUGCUGCUUUGCUGACGAGUGGCGGACGGGUGAGUAAUGUCUGGGAAACUGCCCGAUGGAGGGGGAUAACUACUGGAAACGGUAGCUAAUACCGCAUAACGUCGCAAGACCAAAGAGGGGGACCUUAGGGCCUCUUGCCAUCGGAUGUGCCCAGAUGGGAUUAGCUAGUAGGUGGGGUAACGGCUCACCUAGGCGACGAUCCCUAACUGGUCUGAGAGGAUGACCAGCCACACUGGAACUGAGACACGGUCCAGACUCCUACGGGAGGCAGCAGUGGGGAAUAUUGCACAAUGGGCGCAAGCCUGAUGCAGCCAUGCCGCGUGUAUGAAGAAGGCCUUCGGGUUGUAAAGUACUUUCAGCGGGGAGGAAGGGAGUAAAGUUAAUACCUUUGCUCAUUGACGUUACCCGCAGAAGAAGCACCGGCUAACUCCGUG